rnacentral:pre_miRNA from 15 species
AGAGAGCUUUCUUUAGUCCACACAUGGGGAACGAUAGGGUUCAAUUUGCUGCCGACUCAUUCAUCCAAAUGUUGAGGUCUUGAUAAUCGAGUGCCACCUCAGCAACUGAGUGAAUGAAGCGGGAGUACAAGUUGAGUCUUGAGCUUCCUGUACUUGGACUGAAGGGAGCUCC